rnacentral:rRNA from 1 species
GAUGAACGCUGGCGGCGUGCCUAAUACAUGCAAGUCGAGCGAACAGAUAAGGAGCUUGCUCCUUUGACGUUAGCGGCGGACGGGUGAGUAACACGUGGAUAACCUACCUAUAAGACUGGGAUAACUUCGGGAAACCGGAGCUAAUACCGGAUAACAUAUUGAACCGCAUGGUUCAAUAGUGAAAGGCGGCUUUGCUGUCACUUAUAGAUGGAUCCGCGCCGUAUUAGCUAGUUGGUAAGGUAACGGCUUACCAAGGCAACGAUACGUAGCCGACCUGAGAGGGUGAUCGGCCACCCUGGAACUGAGACACGGACCAGACUCCUACGGGAGUCAGCAGUAGGGAAUCGGCCGCAAUGGGCGAAAGCCUGACGGAGCAACGCCGCGUGAGUGAUGAAGGUCUUCGGAUCGUAAAACUCUGUUAUCAGGGAAGAACAAAUGUGUACGUAACUGUGCACAUCUUGACGGUAACUGAUCAGAAAGCAACGGCUAACUACGUG